CAUGAAUAUGUUGAAAAACGAGCUGUAACUGAACCUUAAAAUAAGUGCUAGACAUUCGAACACUCCCCUGCGUGGGAAACUUGUUAAAUAUGCCGAUCUCAACAAUAACAGAGAUCACACAUUAUAAGCCUCUGCGAAGGCAAAUGCCAAAAUGCCACUGAUAUACCGAUUCUGCAUUUCAUAUCGCCUGUCAAACAUGCAUUACAACCCCUGCAUGGGUAAACUGUUCUUUA